rnacentral:rRNA from 1 species
CUGGCUCAGGAUGAACGCUGGCGGCGUGCCUAAUACAUGCAAGUCGAACGAACUUCCGUUAAUUGAUUAUGACGUACUUGUACUGAUUGAGAUUUUAACACGAAGUGAGUGGCGAACGGGUGAGUAACACGUGGGUAACCUGCCCAGAAGUAGGGGAUAACACCUGGAAACAGAUGCUAAUACCGUAUAACAGAGAAAACCGCAUGGUUUUCUUUUAAAAGAUGGCUCUGCUAUCACUUCUGGAUGGACCCGCGGCGUAUUAGCUAGUUGGUGAGGUAAAGGCUCACCAAGGCAGUGAUACGUAGCCGACCUGAGAGGGUAAUCGGCCACAUUGGGACUGAGACACGGCCCAGACUCCUACGGGAGGCAGCAGUAGGGAAUCUUCCACAAUGGACGCAAGUCUGAUGGAGCAACGCCGCGUGAGUGAAGAAGGGUUUCGGCUCGUAAAGCUCUGUUGUUAAAGAAGAACGUGGGUAAGAGUAACUGUUUACCCAGUGACGGUAUA